rnacentral:misc_RNA from 1 species
AGCAGCCGCGGUAAUUCCAGCUCCAAUAGCGUAUAUUAAAGUUGUUGCAGUUAAAAGCUCGUAGUUGAAUUUCGGGGUUAGCAGGUCGGUCGUGCCAUCGGUAUGAACUGGUCUCGCUGAUCCCUCCCUCUUGACGAACUGUGAUGCCAUUAAUUUGGUGUCGCAGGGAAUCAGGACUGUUACUUUGAAAAAAUUAGAGUGUUUAAAGCAGGCUCACGCUUGAAUACAUUAGCAUGGAAUAAUGAAAUAGGACGUUUGAUCCUAUUUUGUUGGCUUCUAGGAUUGACGUAAUGAUUAAUAGGGAUAGUUGGGGGCAUUAGUAUUCAAUUGUCAGAGGUGAAAUUCUUGGAUUUAUUGAAGACUAACUACUGCGAAAGCAUUUGCCAAGGAUGUUUUCAUUAAUCAAGAACGAAAGUUAGGGGAUCGAAGACGAUCAGAUACCGUCGUAGUCUUAACCAUAAACUAUGCCGACUAGGGAUCGGAUGAUGUUAAUUUUUUAAUUGACUUCU